GAUGAACGCUGGCGGCGUGCUUAACACAUGCAAGUCGAGCGAAGCGCUUUGGUUAGAUUCUUCGGAUGAAGACCUUUGUGACUGAGCGGCGGACGGUGAGUAACGACGUGGGUAACCGUAGCCUCAUACAGGGGGAGUAACAGUUAGAAAUAGACUGCUAAUACCGCAUAAGACUACAGUACCGCAUGGUACAGGGUAAAACGUACCGUGGUAUGAGAUGGACCCGCGUCUGAUUAGCUGGUUGGUGGGGUAACGGCCUACCAAGGCGACGAUCAGUAGCCGGCC
rnacentral:rRNA from 1 species